rnacentral:tRNA from 1 species
GUCAGGAUGGCCGAGUGGUCUAAGGCGCCAGACUCAAGUUCUGGUCCUUGUAAGAGGGCGUGGGUUCAAAUCUCACUUCGACA